rnacentral:lncRNA from 1 species
GUAGUGCUGAAAGUAGCACCAAUCAAUCAAUCAAUCAAAUAAAGAUAAUUAGUUCAUAGUUAAGAACUUAGACAUAGUUACACAAUAGAUUGAAAUAAAAUUCAAAGUUUAAACAAUAGAAAGUACACUUGGCUCUGACGUUAACCGAUAACAAAUUUUAGAACGAGAUGAAAUAAAAUCAUCACUUGAUAUUAAAGCGGAGUCAUAUGUAUCGAGACUUAUCAGGCUCGGUAGGAUGAUAAUAUUUUAAUGUGUCUUAGAACAUGAAAUGAUCCACAAAGCAAAUAUGCAAAUCGCAUACACAGUACAGCUGAACAUCACAGACCAAAUAUUACAACUAUUUAUUGAUUUAAAGUCAGAAUAAUUAAUGAAGCGCCAGUUAUAACAAUCAGUCGGGCGGAAAGAAUAAUGUAUUAACAGAACAUUGAUUGCAGUUCAAGUCAUAUACUCAGUUAACGAGAGCAGAAUCACAAAUAUAUGAAAAAAAAUCUGGGAAAGUGUUUUGAAAUAAAUAAUAUUAAAUUUCGCUGACCGUAGCAUAAAUUUGUUAUCGAAUUAAAUCCCAUUAUCUUGAAAUUGAGACUAGAAACGGCGAAUAUAACAAAGGGACUCCAAUACGACCAUAGAGCAAAAACCCCACAUCAAGACCACCAAUAGGUCUUCCUCACAGAGAAAAACUCCCUCAUCCGGAAAAAAAUGUAUACUAAUUCAGCGAAAAUAGACGUCACAAUUAACUCCCAAACAGUAAAAAUUAAGACGAAAAGAAUCUUACAAAUCCAGAACUUUGUGACUUUGGACAGGCGCAACAAUGCAGCAGGGAUAAACUUGUUUUUGUGAUAUCUCGACUUUUUUUAAUUAAUAUACUUACAGUUUGCUGCACUGUGCGACUUAAAAGCUGCUGUGUGCCAAUAGAAUUGGUUGUAUCGGUAUAAAUAUCUUGAAGAAUUAGGCAUAGGAAAGUAGGUUCUAUCGCAAGCAGCAUGCUUACCAAACAUCGCUUGUACUUCCAUUUUUUGGCUUUCAUGCAUUAUGUUUCUCAAUAAUUUGUACAAAACGAUCCUACAUUUUAUGUGAUGCAUAACGUUUCAAUGUUUGAAAGGAGGAAAAUAUAAUAUAUAUCACGUGUAUAUCACGAAUUAGAAAUACAGAACUGCUUUUUUUGGUGCAUGUAUUUCCAGAGACGAAAUUUGGACAAAAAAUAUGUUUACAGUGUUGUUUCUAUUUUGUUCACCCUUGUAUUUAAAUAAAGGCAACAG